rnacentral:misc_RNA from 1 species
GAUGAAGAACGUAGCGAAAUGCGAUAAGUAAUGUGAAUUGCAGAAUUCAGUGAAUCAUCGAAUCUUUGAACGCACAUUGCGCCCGCCAGUAUUCUGGCGGGCAUGCCUGUUCGAGCGUCAUUACAACCCUCAGGCCCCCGGGCCUGGCGUUGGGGAUCGGCAGAAGCCCCCUGUGGGCACACGCCGUCCCUCAAAUACAGUGGCGGUCCCGCCGCAGCUUCCAUUGCGUAGUAGCUAACACCUCGCAACUGGAGAGCGGCGCGGCCAUGCCGUAAAACACCCAACUUCUGAAUGUUGACCUCGAAUCAAGUAGGAAUACCCGCUGAACUUAAGCAUAUCAAUAAGCGGAGGA